rnacentral:rRNA from 1 species
UACGUAGGGUGCAAGCGUUGUCCGGAAUUAUUGGGCGUAAAGAGCUCGUAGGCGGUUUGUCGCGUCUGCUGUGAAAAUCCGGGGCUCAACCCCGGACUUGCAGUGGGUACGGGCAGACUAGAGUGUGGUAGGGGAGACUGGAAUUCCUGGUGUAGCGGUGAAAUGCGCAGAUAAUCAGGAGGAACACCAAUUGCGAAGGCAGCUCGCUGGAACGUGAACUGACGCUGAGACGCGAAAGCGUGGGGAGCAAACAGG